UAUACAUCCGUACCUUUUUAAUUCCACUUCAUCACGUCAAUACGUUACACUGUAAACAUUAGAAGGUAAUGUGAUUUAUGUAGUAACAUCAAAUCCCGUGUUUAUACAUCGCAAGAUUAACAAGAACAUAAUGGACGAAUGCUUUUUAGCAGUGACUUAUCUCUUGAUAUUUUCUUAACAUUUUAUUACUGGCUUUUUUUCUAUAUGUUUAGCCUCUCCGUAAUCUAGUGUUUCUAAACAUUUGGAACAUCUCUGCCGACUACAUUCGCUACUUGUCCAGCAACUGUCGCCCAUUUGCCUAGAUCUUGCCAGAAAUCUCUUUUGUUGAUAGGCAAUCGAGCGCCCAAGUUUCGACCAACUCUGCUGGCAGAAGGAGCGGCUUGCGCUACCACUGGAGGUGCGGCUGGUGGUACUACAGGAGGUGAGGCUGGUGCUUUACGAGAAUCUUUUUUAUUGAUAUCCAAGGGAACUUC